AGGGCUCGGGUUUGGCUUGGAAAAAUCACCCCCAAAAAUAUUGCUCCUAAAAUUUUUCUCUUGGUGAAUUUCUACUAAGUUGAGGUCCCUUUAUAACUUGGUGUAGUUGCUUUGGAAGAAAGAACACUUGGUGCCUCAAUUUGAUCACUUAUUCAAGUGAAGAAGACUAGAAAAUAAGAUUUUCGACGAAACGGAGAGUGAGCUCGGAUAGGCUUAAAAAGCUCAAAAGGUACCGACGACAGGUUUGCUGAUCCGUCCGCUUAGGAUCUCAUUCUGCUAUUUUUGGAGCGCUCUUUUAUUCAGAGCCAUCUUUUGGUAUAGUCUGUCACUUCUAUAUAUGUAUAUCCUCGUUCAUGGGUACGGCGGGGCCCUGUCCCGUCAUAUGAUUCUGUCGGUCUGUUAGAGGUCU